rnacentral:lncRNA from 1 species
CAAAAUUACGGUGGGGGAGAUAAUUACGGCAUUUCAAGUUACCAAUACAGAGGAGCAGCUUACUAAUAUUGUUUCAUUCGUAUCUGAUAUUGGAUGUGAGUGACUAUUAAUUGGGCUCUGGAAAGAUUUCCUCGCAACAUUUUUAGGCAUGACCGUAGUUGAAUCGGGCAUUCAAGAGGGAGAGCAAUAAUUCUAACUUCACAAAAUUGUAGUAUUUCAUUUAACCAGUUUUUUGAAAUUUCUUGACGUGAUAGAUGUGUUCUAAUUAUGGCGCCGAUAAAUAGCGUCGAUAUUACGUAUUAUUUUAUUCAAAAACUCUUGGCUUCGAAAGUAUGUGGAGGUGCACAUAUUUAUAUGGAUACAGAUAUAGGUAUAUCAGUGCUAAAUAGAUCUACGUCCAAUUUAUUGAGACUGUCCUUUUAAAUGUUUCUGUUGAACGGAAACGAUUUGGUAUAAAAUUAAUUACAUGUUGAGUGGUUUGAAAAUUCCCCUUUAAACUUAUCUUUAAGUGGAUUUAUGAGGUUCUAGUCAAGAACAUUAUAUUAUUGUGACUUGCUUGAAAAGUAGAGUCAGGUAUUUAUACUUAUAUUCCUAUAGUAAACUUAAGAAAAAACAGGACUGAGUCUGUAAGAAGUUUGAUGUUUCGUUUGAAUCAUAUUUUCGAUGAAUAAGAAGAAGACUUUACCUAGAAUGUAUUAAUACUUAUAAAUAAUGAGAUUAUACUUUGGGUAGAUUGAAACACAGGGUGAAGAUUAUUUUUGUAAUUGCGAAGGUAUAGUUAGGGUUGGAUGGCGAGAAAAGCCAAAAACUUGCAGCAUACUGGCGAUGUAAUGUGAAGAUGACACGCUCAAGUAUAACAUAGGCAAGUAAUUCCUCGUGAUAUGUUGUGUAUUCUAAAUUGUUAAAAAUUUGUUGAAGAUUAUGGAAAUGAUUGAAUCACAUGAACUAAAUGGCAAUAACUUAAAGUAUGACUCUCUUGUUUUACGGUCCUGCCUAAGAUAAUAUUCCCGGCAGCCUAUCACAAGUAGGAUACAUCUGCAUACACAAUUAUAUGAUUAUGUACCAUUGUUCCCUAUGUAAGUACAAUCUAAGCACAGUUAUUAGUCAAAUAGCUUCUGUAUUAUUUAAUUAUUGUUCCUAUACUACGUAUGCGACGUAUGCGUUGUCUUCAGAUAGUCGCAGAAUACGUCAAUUGAUACUGGUUACUCACACAUCAUGUAGUGAUAUAAUUUUGGCACUUUAGUUACAUUAUGUACACGUAUAGCUGCGUUCAGUAUUUUCUGUGAUCUCGUAAAUCGAAUAAGUAGGUGAUAGAACAUUUAAUAUAUUCUGGAAAUAUAUGAUCGUAUACAGUUACCACUGUUCUAUCUAGUUCCUGUUUUUCCAUUUUGUAUUGUUGUGGUCAAUAUGUUCCUUUGAAGUUUCAGUGAUUCAUCAUUUCAUUAAUUUACAAGGGGAAAUUGGU